rnacentral:lncRNA from 1 species
CGUCAGCGGGCUCUCAAGUAAGUUCACGGCUGAGUCGAUAUCACCGUUGUCAUUCUGUCAGGCUGUUGCUAUCCAUUUGCUCCAUCGGCUUGGUUUCCAGCCCCUAUGCCUGUGUCUGUGUUUUUUAUUCUUUGCAUCUGUGAUUAUGUGAAGAAGUAACGUAGUGGAGGGAGGGAUUCAGAAAUGUCUUCCCUAAACACCCCACCUUUUUUUAAGAGACAGAGAGAUACUGGCUCUGGAGAAAAUGUGACUCAGCGGUAGAAUUGAUGCCCUUGACUCUGAAAUCUAGGAACUGAAACUAAGCUUUUCUUUUAAUUAUUGCUAUGGUACCAAUCUUUCUCUGGAAGGUAAAAUGGAUAAUUCUGUUUUUGCUCUUCAAAGCAUAAGUCCAUCUGAAUCUGAGACUGGAUUGUAUCAGACUUUCCUUUUGUUCUUAUGGUGGUUUACCUCAAAUUAAUCCUGUUAUAAAUGUCUGUCUUACGUUCUUUUUCUUCAUGUAAUUUUAUCUUUCCUCUAACCAGUUAAAAAGCCUUCAUCAGUUACUGGAGGUACUACUUGCUCUGUUGGACAAAGACGUCCCAGAAAAUUGUAAAAACUGUGCUCAGUACUUUUUCCUGUUCAACACUUUUGUACAAAAGGUAAAUAAUUUUUUUCCUAAUAUCUUUUCCUAAUACAGAAGAUUUAUACUCUAAAAAAUUUUUAGACUGGAUAGUAAAGUUCUAUAUGGUAUGUUUUUUAUGAUGUUUCUUCCUAAAAAUCUUGUGAAUUAUAUUACUUGUAAGAAUUCUGAUGAGGUGGGUAUAGUUACUCAUUGAUAGCAGUAGAAGUCUGCAUUAAAACUAGGGGUUAAUUGUUUAGUAGUUAUUGUGAAGCAAUGUGAGGCUCAGGAGUUUUUUUAAUUAGAUUUUAACAAGUACUUUCUAUAUGGAAAUAAUAUUCUUAAAAAAUAUAUUGACUCCUUAAAACUUUCCAUUUAGCUGUGUUUUUAAAACCAAUUUUUGUCUGGAUAGAAAUAUAAUUUGUUAUUCUCAAUAUCUUGUGACAGCAAGGAAUUAGGGCUGGAGAUCUUCUUCUGAGGCAUUCAGCUCUGCGGCACAUGAUCAGCUUCCUCCUAGGGGCCAGUCGGCAAAACAAUCAGAUACGUCGAUGGAGUUCAGCACAAGCACGAGAAUUUGGGAAUCUUCACAAUACAGUGGCGUUACUUGUUUUGCAUUCAGAUGUCUCAUCCCAAAGGAAUGUUGGUAAGCUUAACAUAUCUUAGAAUGAAGAGAUACUGAAUUUGUCUAGCUUGGAG